rnacentral:rRNA from 1 species
ACAAAAACGACUCUCGACAACGGAUAUCUCGGCUCUCGCAUCGAUGAAGAACGUAGCGAAAUGCGAUACUUGGUGUGAAUUGCAGAAUCCCGUGAACCAUCGAGUCUUUGAACGCAAGUUGCGCCCGAAGCCGUUAGGUUGAGGGCACGUCUGCCUGGGUGUCACAC